rnacentral:lncRNA from 1 species
AUAGUUGAUUAAGACAAGAAUUAAUCUCAGAGUUGCAUCUUAGAAAGUAAGGGUUCGUAACCCUACAUCUUCUUAGUCAGUUGGGGGCCCACGUGUCACUGUAAAAGUAAUUUUAUUCUUCAGUUGUUUGAUUUAAAGUAUGUAUAAAUAUAUUUAGCUUUUACACCAUGUUUUUGGCGAGUUUCGAUAUUUUUGAAGAAAAAUGACGAAAAUGCCCCUAUGAGCUAGAAAGUAAUAUUUUAUUGUUUUGAUUUGGAAAUGACUUAUGAUUUUUUUGAAAUGUGAGAUUUAAUAACUGUCGCUCACUAGGGAGAUGCAGAAGCUGAUGCUAAGCUUUGCGGGGUUUCAAUCGGCAUUCGGGGUAAUGAGUGCCUAUCGGGACGUCGCGGCGGUUGUCACGGGCUCGAUGGGAGUUUCGGG